UACGUAGGGAGCAAGCGUUGUCCGGAAUCAUUGGGCGUAAAGAGCGUGUAGGCGGCCCGGUAAGUCGGUUGUGAAAGUCAAGGGCUCAACCCUUGAAAGCCGACCGAUACUGCCGGGCUAGAAUCCGGAAGAGGCGAGUGGAAUUCCUGGUGUAGCGGUGAAAUGCGCAGAUAUCAGGAGGAACACCGGUGGCGAAGGCGACAUCCUGGACCAACACUGACGCUGAGGAGCGAAAGCCAGGGGAGCAAACGGG
rnacentral:rRNA from 1 species